AGGGGGAAAGCAUGAGGUGGUCCCCAUGGAUCGUGGAGCUCAGAAGGAAACCAGUACCCAGGACCUAAACUUUAGAGCAAUGAGCAAGAUUCCUGGGCCUGUUCUGAUAUUAGAUGGAGUUGCAUCAUCAGACUCAGACCAUCAGCCAAGAGGAUGGAGUUGCAUCAUCAGACUCAGACCAUCAGCCAAGGGGAACUGAAGCAGAUCCUCCCAGGCACUCGUAUGCCCAGUGAGAGUGUAGAUGGGGCAUCCGAAGCUUAGAGGGAUCCAGUGACUUGUCUGAGAUGAUCAGCUGAUUGGUGACUGAGCUGGCAUGUUGAACUACUGUUGGAGUGGGGAGAGGGGUGGCCUCAGUGAUGACUAAGACAUUGACCCUCUGGAUACCUGGGAUUGUUUGAAGGAAUAGAGAUGCCAGGAGAAUGUAUGUAUUUUGAGACAAAGUUUUACCCUCAUUCAGUUGUGUUUAAACCGCCAGCUCUGGCAGAGACAUGCAGAAGUGUUCAGUGUGCAGAAGAGGUGCUCUGGAAAGGGAGACAUUUCUGUCCGAUGAUUAUCCUAUUAAGAAUAAAGACUCAAUUAUGUGAAAGAACAAACUUCCAACAUGUGUGAAAACAGCAAAGUUUCUAUUUGUCAAGGACACAGUGUUCUGACAGCAGUUUUGUUCCUUCUGCUUAGUGAGGACUGGCUCUGACUGACACUCACGAGUGAGCUCCUCUUACAGUCAGACAAGUCAAACUCUGAAAGCCAGCACUUUUUUGAACUUUAAAAAAGAAAUUCAUGACCAUGCAGGGAUUUCAAUUUGAUAUUUAAAAAUUUUACAAUAGAUGAAACAAUGUCAACCAUGUGAGAGUACGUUAUAAUGGGCUCUUAGAAAAUGAGACGUGAAUCUUCAGCUCUGCCCGAACAUGGAACAUACUGGGGAAAAUAUGGGUAAUUAGUUGCAUGAUUCAGCUGAGAAUGACUUUUCCUCUUCAUUUCUUUUUCUGCCUUGUGUGUUGGAUAAUUUGAGAGUAUUUUUUAAUUUACUCAGCCUAUAAUUUUUGUCCUCUUCAUAUUGUCUAGAGAGAUAUAGUCAUUGAGACAAGGGAAAAACACAAAUGUAUAUAUAAUUAUUCAAUAUACUUCAAUGGACACCACCAAAGGAAUUGUGCUAAGCUUUAUGGAAGAUACAAGAAUACAGAGAACCCAGCCUCUUUUGUCAGUUUAGCAGGUAGAAAGAUCUUAGUUCCAUAAGGGAGAAAUUGUUAUAGGAAUUUAUUCACUCACUUACCAAAUAUUUACUCUUUGCAUUAGGCACUAUAACAGGGGCUGUAUAGACGAUUAAGAUCCAGUGUUCAGUGUGGAAGCUGAGAAAGAAAUGCCAAAAACAGGGAAAAAGUACGAGAAUAUAAAGCUUUUUCAUUUCUUUUGUGUCUCUCUCAACUUCUCAUGGUGUUUA